rnacentral:lncRNA from 1 species
UAAACCUUGUGUUAAAAUUUCAUAGAUUUCUAUUAACUUAUACCAAAGUUAUUGUGCAAAAACCAAGAAAAAUGCUUAUUUGGGACCUGUUUUUGGCCCCUAAUUCCUAAACUAUUGGGACUAAAACUCCCAAAAUCAAUCCCAACCUUCCUUUUGUGAUCAUAGACCUUAUGUUUAAAGUUCAUAGAUUUCUGUUUACUUAUACUAAAGUUAUUGAGCGAAAACCCAGAAAAAUGCUUAUUUGGGCCCUUUUUGGCCCCUAAUUCCUAAACUGUUGGGACCAAAACACCAAAAAUCAAUCCCAACUUUCCUUUUAUGGUCAUAAACCUUUUGUUUAAAUUUCAUGGAUUUCUUUUAACUUUUACUUAAGUUAGAGUGCGAAAACCAAAUGUCUUCAGACGACAACGACAACGUGAUACCAAUAUAUGACCAAAAAAUUUUCAAUUUUUGCAGUCGUAUAACCAGGUGCUCCGCAGGGCGCAGCUUUAUACGACCGCAGAGGUCGAACCCUGAACAGUUGGGGCAAGUAUGGACAAAACAUUCAAGCGUGAUACAGCUCUGAAUUUGGAUUGUGAUAAAAUUUUUGACAUUACAUGGGUUUUUUUUACACAAAACAAAUGUCAAGAUUUUACAAAUCAAUUAAAGAUUUCUUCUUCAAACUUUUUAAAUCUAAAAUUAAAUAGUUGACACAGCAUAGGUUUCUGACACAGAAUGAAUGUGGUCUAAUGAACUUAAAAGUUUUUUUUUGCCUUUGAGCAAUUCACUAUGCUGUUGAAUAUUAAUCCUCUCAAAAAAAAUGUUUGAAGAAAUUUUCUUUUUAUUUAUGAAAUCUGAAAUGAGAAAAAUUUAAACCCCCCCCCUUUUUUUCACAUCCCCGUUUCCCUUUCUCCAAAACUGAUAUCAAUUCAAAUUUCUAAUGGAGUUUGCAACAAUAACUACUCUUUUAAAUACAUCAUAAAAUAUUAAAAUGUAAAAUAAAGUGCUUGUUAUCACUGAAUGGUAAAGAUUGGUUGGUAGUAAAAGUGAAUAUACAUUGUUUAUUGUAUAAAACAGCAACAUUUUAUAUU